rnacentral:rRNA from 1 species
GACGGAGGGUGCUAGCGUUGUUCGGAAUCACUGGGCGUAAAGGGCGCGUAGGCGGCCCAUGCAGUCGGCUUGUGAAAGCCCGGGGCUCAACCCCGGAGGUGCGGCCGAUACACAUGGGCUGGAGGCCGGAAGAGGAGGGUGGAAUACCCAGUGUAGAGGUGAAAUUCGUAGAUAUUGGGUGGAACACCGGUGGCGAAAGCGGCUCUCUGGUCCGGACCUGACGCUGAGGCGCGAAAGCGUGGGGAGCAAACAGG